GUAACAGUAAAUAUCUUCCAGGGAAUAUGGGAAAUCAAUACAGCCUACUGCCUGUAAUUGCUCCUCAAGGGAAGCAGAACAUUUUAUGCUGAAGGAGAAUUCAGUCAAUCCAGGUUUCUGUGGGACCUCUUUCCGAUGAUCCCACUUGGUCCAGGCCUAGAACCAGGGAUGUCUCCAAGAAAGAAUGGAUUAAUCCACCUUCAGAGCUGGACACAUGCAAAGAGAGAAGCAAUGGCCUACCAGGGACAGAACCAGGCCCCCAGACUGGUAACAAGCAGUCUGUGGACUGGCAUCAGCCUUUGGGCCACACCCUGAAAAGCAGAAUGACAGAAUACACACAGAAUGACCGAGAACCAAGUGAAGCCAAAGAAGCAGCUCAACUCUGGGCCAGGGAAGUACCCAAUCACCUUCAGAACUCCGACACCUCAGGCCUGAGGCUGAAGGGGCACUACCCAAGUGCUCCUCAGGAAACUGAAGAAAACCAGGCUGCCUGCAGGAAUGACAGCACCACCCUACUUUUCACCAGUGGAGAAGAGUCCACCCUCGCUGGAUCCAACAAUUUACUUAGAGGCAGGAAACAGUAAUGCUGAAGUCUGGAGGUGGACAAGAGCUGUUGCCACACUGGAUUACCUGAAGUCAACCAAAUGUCAUGCUGUAGUCUAGAAUAGCCCUUUACAUGCUGCUUCUGUCUUGAUUUGUAUUUCUCCCAUCCAUUUUGCAACUCCUUCUAGUUUCAGGACAAUCAACAACUGCCUUUCUGAAGCAUGAAGAUAAGUUAAAUGCCUCCUCCUCCAAGAUGUCAUAGUAUUUUUCACAUCUCUCUACCAAAGCUAUAAAAUCUGUCUUCCAAAUUGGCUACAAGAUUCUAAAGGAUAAGGGCCAUGUUCUUUUAAUCUUUAAAUCCCCAGCCAACUAGCUCAACUGACUAGGAAUCUAAAUGAUAUCUAUAUU
rnacentral:lncRNA from 1 species